rnacentral:sRNA from 1 species
GUUCUAUCCGUCAGCCGCUUUGGUGUGCUGCAUCCGGAUCGAAGUGACGGACCGUGAAGCCGCGAGAAUCAGGUCUGAGGGUCGGGGGCAGAGCCGCCCGCGAGGCCGGCCUGGGGAUAGCGGUGCUCGGGUUCUCCCCGGGUCUCCCGCAGCUCCCGGUCCAGCUCCGCCCACAGACUCGGAUGGCGACCGUACUGAGGGACCCGGCUUCGGGCCGUGGGAGCCAUAGAGAGCUUUCGCAAACGAGAGACACCAUCUGAGUUAGAAUUUGAAAAAUCCUCUGCAGGCUGUUCAGUGGAAGAAAAGACUUUAGAGAUGAAUGAGGACGUUGAGGCAGAGGGAGGCUGAAUAUUUUUCCAAGGCCACACAACUGGUGAGAGGCAGCACUAAGGACCGAGGCGCACAGGUUCCCAUAGCUACAGAGGUGCUUUUCAGACUUACACAGGUAAGUGGAGGUAUCUCA